GAUGAACGCUGGCGGCGUGCUUAACACAUGCAAGUCGAACGGGAAAUAUUUCAUUGAGACUUCGGUGGAUUUGAUUUAUUUCUAGUGGCGGACGGGUGAGUAACGCGUGGGUAACCUGCCUUAUACAGGGGGAUAACAGUCAGAAAUGGCUGCUAAUACCGCAUAAGCGCACAGAGCUGCAUGGCUCAGUGUGAAAAACUCCGGUGGUAUAAGAUGGACCCGCGUUGGAUUAGCUAGUUGGUGGGGUAACGGCCCACCAAGGCGACGAUCCAUAGCCGGCCUGAGAGGGUGAACGGCCACAUUGGAACUGAGACACGGCCCAGACUCCUACGGGAAGCAGCAGUGGGGAAUAUUGCACGAUGGGGGAAACCCUGAUGCAGCGACGCCGCGUGAAGGAAGAAGUAUCUCGGUAUGUAAACUUCUAUCAGCAGGGAAGAUAGUGACGGUACCUGACUAAGAAGCCCCGGCUAACUACGUG
rnacentral:rRNA from 1 species